GUACGCUGGCGGCACGCCUAAUACAUGCAAGUCGAACGAAGUAGCAAUACUUAGUGGCAGACGGGUGAGUAACAUGUGGGUAUCUUCCCUUUGGUGAGGAAUAACACGAGGAAACUUGUGCUAAUACCUCAUAAGUCUUUACGGAGAAAGCUUUAUGCGCCAUUGGAUGAGCCCGCACUUGAUUAGUUUGUUGGUGGGGUAAUGGCCUACCAAGGCAAUGAUCAAUAGCUGAUUUGAGAGGAUGAUCAGCCACAUUGGGACUGAGACACGGCCCAAACUUCUACGGAAGGCAGCAGUAGGGAAUCUUGCACAAUGGAGGAAACUCUGAUGCAGCGAUGCCGCGUGAGUGAAGAAGGCCUUUGGGUUGUAAAGCUCUUUCGUCGGGGAAGAAAAUGACUGUACCCGAAUAAGAAGGUCCGGCUAACUUCGUGCCAGCAGCCGCGGUAAUACGAAGGGACCUAGCGUAGUUCGGAAUUACUGGGCUUAAAGAGUUCGUAGGUGGUUAAAAAAGUUGGUGGUGAAAUCCCAGAGCUUAACUCUGGAACUGCCAUCAAAACUUUUUAGCUAGAGUAUGAUAGAGGAAAGCAGAAUUUCUAGUGUAGAGGUGAAAUUCGUAGAUAUUAGAAAGAAUACCAAUUGCGAAGGCAGCUUUCUGGAUCAUUACUGACACUGAGGAACGAAAGCAUGGGUAGCGAAGAGGAUUAGAUACCCUCGUAGUCCAUGCCGUAAACGAUGUGUGUUAGACGUUGGAAAUU
rnacentral:rRNA from 1 species